AUUGAACGCUGGCGGCAGGCCUAACACAUGCAAGUCGAACGAGUGGCGGACGGGUGAGUAAUGUCUGGGAAACUGCCUGAUGGAGGGGGAUAACUACUGGAAACGGUAGCUAAUACCGCAUACCAUCAGAUGUGCCCAGAUGGGAUUAGCUUGUUGGUGGGGUAACGGCUCACCAGGGUGACGAUCCCUAGCUGGUCUGAGAGGAUGACCGGCCACAUGGGAACUGGGACACGGUCCGGACUCCUACGGGAGGAAGCAGUGGGGAAUAUUGCACAAGGGGCGAAGGCCGGAGGCAGACAGGCGGCGUGUAGAAGGAAGGCCUUCGGGUUGUAAAGUACGUUCAGCGGGGAGGCGGUACCCGAAGAGGAAGCACCGGCUAACUCCGUGCCAGCAGCCGCGGUAAUAC
rnacentral:rRNA from 1 species